rnacentral:rRNA from 1 species
CAUGCCGCGUGUGUGAAGAAGGCCUUAGGGUUGUAAAGCACUUUCAGUGGGAGGAAUGCCCAGUGUUAAUAGCGCUGGGAGUUGACGUUACCCACAGAAGAAGCACCGGCUAACUCCGUGCCAGCAACUGCGGUGACUGAGCGGGCUGGCAAGGCGCAUA